AACGAACGCUGGCGGCGCGCCUAAUACAUGCAAGUCGAGCGAGAAGACGUAGCAAUACGUUUGUAAAGCGGCGGACGGGUGAGGAAUACAUGGGUAACCUACCCUCGAGUGGGGAAUAACUAGCCGAAAGGUUAGCUAAUACCGCGUACGCUCCUUGGACUUCGGUUCAGGGAGGAAAGCGAUACCGUGGGUAUCGCGCUCUUGGAUGGGCUCAUGUCCUAUCAGCUUGUUGGUGAGGUAACGGCUCACCAAGGCUUCGACGGUAGCUGGUCUGAGAGGACGAUCAGCCACACUGGCACUGCGACACGGGCCAGACUCCUACGGGAGGCAGCAGUAAGGAAUAUUGCGCAAUGGGCGAAAGCCUGACGCAGCGACGCCGCGUGGGGGA
rnacentral:rRNA from 1 species